rnacentral:rRNA from 1 species
CGGCGAGUGAAGCGGCAAUAGCUCAAAUUUGAAAGCUGGCGUCUUCGACGUCCGCGUUGUAAUUUGUAGAGGAUGCUUCGGCGAGGACUCCUGCCUAAGUCCCCUGGAACGGGGCGUCACAGAGGGUGAGAAUCCCGUAUGUGGCGGGCGGUCCGAGCCAUGUGAAGCUCCUUCGACGAGUCGAGUUGUUUGGGAAUGCAGCUCUAAAUGGGAGGUAAAUUUCUUCUAAAGCUAAAUAUUGGCCAGAGACCGAUAGCGCACAAGUAGAGUGAUCGAAAGAUGAAAAGCACUUUGGAAAGAGAGUUAAAAAGUACGUGAAAUUGUUGAAAGGGAAGCGCUUGCAACCAGACUCGCUCGCAGUUGCUCAGCCGGCCUCUUGGCCGGUGUACUCUUCUGCGAUCGGGCCAGCAUCAGUUCGGGCGGCCGGAUAAAGGUGUCGGGAAUGUAGCACCCUUCGGGGUGUGUUAUAGCCCGGCGCGGAAUGCGGCCAGCCUGGACUGAGGAUCUCGCUUCGGCAAGGAUGCUGGCGUAAUGGUUGUAAGCGGCCCGUCUUGAAACACGGACCAAGGAGUCUAACAUCUAUGCGAGUGUUUGGGUGUCAAACCCAUGCGCGUAAUGAAAGUGAACGGAGGUGGGAACCCCUCACGGGGUGCACCAUCGACCGAUCCUGAUGUCUUCGGAUGGAUUUGAGUAAGAGCAUAGCUGUUGGGACCCGAAAGAUGGUGAACUAUGCCUGAAUAGGGUGAAGCCAGAGGAAACUCUG